GGGUCUGCGUUCCAUUAGCUAGUUGGUAGGGUAAUGGCCUACCAAGGCAACGAUGAGUAGCUGGUCUGAGAGGAUGAUCAGCCACACUGGAACUGAAACACGGUCCAGACUCCUACGGGAGGCAGCAGUGGGGAAUAUUGCGCAAUGGGCGAAAGCCUGACGCAGCAACGCCGUGUGAGGGAUGAAGGCUUUCGGGUCGUAAACCUCUGUCGGAAGGGAAGAACGGGCAAGGGUCCAAUAGGCCUUUGUUUUGACGGUACCUUUAGAGGAAGCACCGGCUAACUCCGUGCCAGCAGCCGCGGUAAUACGGAGGGUGCAAGCGUUAUUCGGAAUUACUGGGCGUAAAGCGCACGUAGGCCGCUUUGUAAGUCAGGGGUGAAAUCCCACGGCUCAACCGUGGAACUGCCUUUGAAACUGCAGAGCUUGAAUCCUGGAGAGGGUGGCGGAAUUCCUGGUGUAGGAGUGAAAUCCGUAGAUAUCAGGAGGAACACCGGUGGCGAAGGCGGCCACCUGGACAGGUAUUGACGCUGAGGUGCGAAAGUGUGGGGAGCAAACAGGAUUAGAUACCCUGGUAGUCCACACCGUAAACGAUGGACGCUAGGUGCCGGAG
rnacentral:rRNA from 1 species